rnacentral:rRNA from 1 species
GACGAACCGUGCGAACGUUAUUCGGAAUCACUGGGCUUAAAGCGCGUGUAGGCGGAUCGCCGCGUCGGCUGCUGAAAUCCCCCGGCUCAACCGGGGAACUGGCACCGAAACGGGCGGUCUGGAGGGGGGUAGGGGGGUCUGGAACUUCCGGUGGAGCGGUGAAAUGCGUUGAGAUCGUGAGGAACGCCCGUGGCGAAAGCGGGCUCCUGGGCCCCACCUGACGCUGAGACGCGAAAGCCAGGGGAGCGAACGGG